AAGCAAGGGGGACAGAGUAUGCGAGAGUAAUUGGAGUUCAUGCAAGUUCUAACCAGCUUACUCAGUAGCUGGGUGAAUUGCAGUACUCCAACAUUCUGCUUCCAUCUGCUCAGUUCUCAUGCU
rnacentral:precursor_RNA from 7 species